rnacentral:lncRNA from 1 species
UUUUUUUUUUCUCUUCUUCUCCUUUGCUGAUCUCAGGUUUUUUUUUUUUUACUCUCCUUUCCCGUCGUUGACCACCACCGUCCCAGAAAUAAUACUUCAUCCCCAACCAUGAAUAAGAACCUCCAAUUCCUCUUCCAAAUCGAGUAACAAAUCGGUACACCCACACCAUCAACCAUCACCCUCGUAUCUCCAACCAUCAUUUCACUCACCAAGCCUUUACAAACCCUAAACCUCUCAUUCCUAAUCGCAGAGGAGGAUAAUUAAGAAUUCCCAGCCCCGAAAUCAACCUCCCAUUGUAGCUAUUUGAAUUUGAAUUCCCAAUUUUCAGAUAUGAGGAAGGCGAAGAAGAGAAGAAGAAGAAGAGAAAAAAAAAAAAAAAAGGAAGACAAAAUUAGCUAUGAGGACAACUCGAACCCAAGCUUACAACUUUCCGUUUACCACUAGACCACAACAACUUAUUCACAUAACCUUGUUAAACGAUUGUAUAUAUUAAUUAACAUAUUUGAGUUUAAUAUUUAACGCCGUUAGUUAAUUCCUUUACGUCCGUUAACGGCUGUUAACGUGCGGGUUUGAUUCUACCAAUAAUUUAUAUACAAAGUAUUUUAUGACCACGAAUAAUUAGUUGAGGUAUUUUUAUUCCAAUCAAAAAUAAUUGGGCAUUAAACGUCCAAAUAAAAAUUACUUUGGGUUUUUUUUUGGGAAUUUUCCCGAAGGAAAAGUAACUAGGUAGGAAGGAGGUAGCAGAUUCUAAAAUAUAUCAAAUCUAUACUAGUAUAAUCGCAGCACUUUUUGUGACGGGUGAGUAAAAAAGCUUUCGGGUAUAUCGGAUAUCCGACCCAUUUUAAAAAUUUCUUCACAAAAAAUUUGUUGGGUCGGGUUAUAUUUAACCCAACUCAUACACCGGAUAUUCCAUAUUUAAUAAUUUAGAUUUUUAGAAGAUUUGAUUAAGAUUUAUAAUUAUGAUUCUCCUAUCAUCUUUGUUUGAUUUGUUUUUAACUGUUUUGAAUCAUCAUAUAAUACAUAAAGUAAAAAAAAAAAAAAAUCAAUUUUUUUUCUGCAUAUACUAUGAUUCGAAAUUUAAAAAACGGACAUAUAUUAUCCAAUUGACGAAAAUGUGUGUUCAACGUUCUACAUCGAUUAAAAUAUUUAGACAAUGAUUCAGAAUCAUAUCAUAAAUAAGAACAUUAAUAAAAUAAAUGAGUUUUUUGGCGGGACGGGUUUUUGAAUCAACAAUAAUAAAAAGAUUAAAAUAUCAUUAAUCCGCCGCUUCAAUACGGAUUUAAUCCUUUUUUUUUUAAUACAAAUCACAGGACGGGUUAAGAAAUUACGGAACGGGUUAUAUUUCGGAAAUGAUUUAUAUGGCGGACGAAUUUGAAUCAAUAUUUAUAUACCGCUUUAAUACGGGUUAAAUCCUCAGUUUAUUAAUAAUUAUCUCGUGGACUCGUGGUAUACCGUUACUUAAUAACAAUUGUAAACUAUAAUAUAAAUAAAUAUGUUAUAAGGAGAUACAAUUUACAAAAUAUUUUUAUACUAACUUUAAAAUUAAAUCAUCCCGCGGUACACCGCGGGUUAAAAUCUAGUGCUUAGAAAAAUAUUAACUUAUCUCUAUACUAUUAAAAGAGAAGUACAAAUGCAAAUGGGUCGGGUCAAAAUCAGAAAAUUGACCCAAAAUUCUGAAAUCGGAUCUUUGAAUUUUUUUUUGAAUAUGAAUUCUAAUUAAUAUUUAAUAAUAAAAAAUCGAACUAAAAUAAAAUAUUUAUUGAAAUCAAAUAAAAUCUGAUUGUAUUUAUGGUAACUAAUUAUAAAAACAUAUUCCGAACAAUACUAUACAUUACGUAUAAUAUAUUUUUCAUAUAUUUUUGGAACUAAUUCCAUAACAAUCAACGUUUUUGUCAUUAAUUUUGCUUAUUUUAGCCAAUUAUCAUUAAUUGAAAGAUAUCUUACUUGCUUCAAAAGAUUUCUAGAAAAUUUAUCACAACUAACCCAUCUAUUUUAUAAAUUAAAUAGAUAUUUUUAUUUUGGUCGUAUAAAUUAAAUAGAUAUGAAAUCCAUGUAACUAAUUUUAAUUUAAUUAGAUUAAAUCGAAAUUAUGGUAUUUUCAUACUUAUAGCUUACCAAAGAAGUUUAAUUUUAAAAUUAUAAAGAUUUCUUGAAUAUGAUUUUUAGAAUUAUUCAACAAGAUGAUAAAUAUUUAUUAAAUUUUACGAAUCAUGGUAAAUAAUAAUUAAUUUUUAAUCGUUAUAUUUCACCUUUCAAAGUUUCAAUCUCUCAUCUAACAAAUAGGAUAUAUAUUCUAUUAUUACUAUGUCUAAACUCUAUUUUGUUGAAUGACUAAAUAAUAUUCCCAUUAGAGCUGUCAAAGCGAGUUGAUUCGUCCCGUUAAGCCCGUUUUGUGAUAGGCAAAAUAUAUUUUGACAUAUAGUUAGUUGGUCCACACGACCCGCAUAUAGCAUAUAUGAAACACAAACCCAUCUAGCGAAUGUAUGCUGAUUUGCGGGGUUGUCUGUGGAUUUUGGUUAAAUAAUUUUAAAGUAACAAAAAUUUAAAAUACUACUAAAAUAAAUAAUAAAAAAAUUAGAAGGAAUAAUUUAUAUCUCAUUAUAUUUAUAAAUAUUAUAAUUUCAUUUAUCAAAAGUUUUUUAAAUUACCAAAUGUUGAAUAAAUUAUAUUUUUAUCAAUAAAUACUAACAUGCGGGCUGAUCCGCCAACCCGCGGACAAAAACCGAUUAAAACCUAUGAUCCACUGCGAAUCAAUCCAUGUGACCCGUUUAUUUACGGAUUUAAUAUAUUUUCACAAAUAUGCCCCAUAGUGAGAUGAUUUUGGCUCGAUCCACGGUUUUUGACCUAUUUUUACUGCUCUAAUUCCUAUGAAUUGUCUAAUUUUAGAAUUCUAAAACAUAAAAUUCCAUUUUGUAAUCCUAAUUAAUAUGAUCGGUUUAAUUAUAAACAAUUUAACAUUUUCUAUCUACAAUUCGUUAUUAUGAAUAUUUAUAAGUACACUACCCGAUUCGCUCUACUUAAAACACAAACUAUUAAAAUCAACGUAUGUAAACCAAUAUUCUCCCGCGGUCCACCGCGGGUCCGAUCCUAGUUUCAGACAUGUAAUUUCUAUCACGUUCUCUCCAAAAAAAGGUGUCUUUUAUCGGUAUAUAUAGUUGAAUCUUAUCAUUGGAUCAACAUAACAUAUAUUUGAAAAAGAAAAAAGAAAAACAUAACAUAUAGUUAUAUCGGAUCAAGUAGACUUGAUACCAUAUUAAACAUUAUAAAUUUACGUUUUGAAACUAAUCGACAAUAAAUAGACGAACUCAAAACUCUUAUGUAGUAUAUUAUGUAUUUCAAAUAUGUUAACUUUUUAGUUAAAUUCAUUUUGAAACAUCUUAUAAAAUAAUGAAAACUUCGAACACUAUGGUCCAUGUACGAAUAUACGAUGACAUAACAUCCUUUAUUAGAAAUAUUCACACAUUUCAUAACCUACAACUGCUGAUUUUCGUAUGGAUUUAUAAUUUUUGCUUAUAAAUUUACUAGACAUUUGUUUUUAACAAGAAUCAAAAACAUAUAGAAAAGGAUAAUUAAGAAGUGUUUAUAAAUGGUCAAAACAACUAAUGACACGCUUAAAGGCCAUCACUGUUUUAGCUUCACCAACCCCAUUUAGUUGUUCUCUCUAUUAAUUAUCAGACCAACCAAAUGAAUUAUUCCCGUAUUUAUAAAACAAAACAAAAAUAAAAACAAUAAAUCUAUUUCAAAAUAAAAAGGUUUAGACAAGAAAAAAGUCGCCAAAUCCGCCGGCGGGAGAAAAAUUCCGGUGAACCAUUCUUCUUGAUUCUGCAGGUGGUUUUCUUAAAUUAAGUUUCUUACCGCUAAUUUAAUUCUGAUUUGUUUAUAUGUUUUUUCUGUCAGGAAAGUGUCAAUUUUUAAUAUUCCUUACCCUUUCACGGUUUAAUUUGUUUUGGAUAAUCAUUCUCUUUUUUUUUUCUGGAAAGUUCGAAUUUUUUUUGUUUGGAAGCUUGGAUAAAAAUAUUAUAGUCUCAUUGAAUGAUCAUUCUUUUUGUUGUUGUUGAUUUACUAUGCUUUUACAAAUCCUCAUUUGAUCGAUUCUGUCAAAGAAUUGGGUCAAUUUUGAAAAGAAAAAAAAUCUGAACUUUGAGAAAAGUUAUUGAGUUUCGGUUUCUGUCGGUCAGGGUUUGUGAUUGUGGCUGAUGGGUAGACAACAAAUUAGGUAGGGUUUUGUUAUAUUGAUGUCCAUAGUCCUUAAUUGUGGCCAAAUUCUUGUCUUUUAGGUUUUGGCUGAAUCUUGUUGAAAUUUCUUUUGCAGGGGUUUUGAAUAUUUUUGUGUAUUGAAGAUUGUCUGAAAUGGAAGCAGCUAUUGCUCAGAGGAUUCAGUACCCAUCAUGGGUUGAUUGGAGAGAGUUUGAGGGGAAGUCGCUGCGUGGUUCAUUGCGGUAUUCUCAGCGAGUGAAGGAAGAGAAAAGGUUUAGAGGGCUUGCUUUGGCUCAUUUGCAACCUGAAAGAAGAAAAAGAUCAGUUUCUUCAGAGGUUUUAUGUUCUGAUAACAACUCUUCAGGUGGUUGUGAAAUCAUUUGGAUGUUUUGAUGCCUAUGAUAUAACUCAAUCUGAAAUGCUAUAGCUGCGAGUGUCUCAUUUGAUCUUUGAUUUUUGUAGCGUUGUUGGAGGCCGGAAGUGUUUAUCCGUUUGAUGAAGAUCUAAUUCUCAAGGCAAGUAAUAAUACCCUUUUAUAACAUCAAGCUAUCAUAUCAGCUUAUAAAAGCUUACUAGGCAAUAAAUACAUGAGCUUUGCAGAGAAAAGCAGAAGAGGUUAAACCGUUUUUGAAUGGUCGAUCUAUGUACCUUGUUGGUUAGUUUCUUUGUCUGCAUCUUUGUUUGCAUACAGUUACUUCUUAAUACAUGUAAUUUGAUGACUCUGUGGUGAAUACAGGAAUGAUGGGUUCUGGGAAAACGACCGUGGGAAAGUUAAUGUCCAAAGUGCUCGGUUAUUCCUUCUUUGACUGGUAUGUAUAUGCUACUGAAGAAAAGCCUUUAUAUGUUUUAAAGCCUUAAUGGAAGUCUCCUGGAAAAUUUGUUCUUUGAUUUGGAGUUAGUAAUGAAUGUGGUUUGAUAUUCUCGGUUUGUAACCUUCUAUAAGUUUUUGGAUGUGGCAGCGACUCUUUGAUUGAACAGGCGAUGAAUGGAACUUCUGUUGCAGAGAUAUUUGUGCAUCAUGGAGAGAAUUUUUUUAGAGGAAAGGAGGUUAUUUUUGUGAUCCUUGUUUCAAGCUCUUCUUCUUCGUCUACUCUUUGUUUAGUGCGAUUCAUUGUACAUAUUUCAAGCUAAGUUUCUUUCUUUCUAGACUGAUGCGCUUAAGAAGCUCUCUUCGAUGUAUCAAGUUGUUGUUUCCACCGGUGGAGGUGCAGUUAUACGACCCAUUAACUGGUGUGUUCCCUUCAUCCUGUUCAAAUUAUAAUGAUAUAAAAACUCAGUUGCUUGUUAAACUUAUUUGGUAAUCUGAUGAUAUUAUCAGGAAAUAUAUGCAUAAAGGAAUCAGCAUUUGGCUAGAUGUGCCUCUAGAAGCCUUAGCCCAUAGAAUCGCUGCUGUUGGAACUGGUUCACGACCACUGUUACACGAUGAAUCAGGAGAUGCAUACUCAGUGGUACUGAUCUGACUGUUCUACAAUCAUACGCCUUGGAUACUUAAACAAAAAAAUCAUCUUUUUCGUGUUUGUGAUUGUGAUUGUGAAUGAAUACUCGUAGGCUUUCAAACGUCUCUCGACUAUUUGGGAUGAGCGCGGUGAAGCAUACGCAAAUGCAAAUGCCAGAGUCUCCUUGGAAAGUAUGUCUUCUUCAUCCAUCUGAUAUAGCCUUUGUUCAAUCUGUGUAACUUCUUCUGGUAAUUUUGCUUUCCUUCCUUGUACUCGAAUCAUCAGAUAUUGCAGCCAAGCGUGGCUAUAAAGAUGUCUCAGAUCUCACACCAACUGAAAUCGCUAUCGAGGUAAGUCAGGUUCUUUCUCUUUUACUUCAUCAUUAAUAUGUUCAAAUCACACUCAACAAAGCAAAUCACUCAUCAUCAGGCCUUUGAGCAAGUUCUGAGCUUUCUAGAGAAAGAAGAAACUAUGGAGAUCCCAGACGGCGACCUCUAAUUUCCCCGCCUCCACUUCUGUCUCUUCAUUUAUAUGUUCAAUCAACUCAAUGAAGCAAUUACUCAUCACCAGGCCAUUGAGCAAGUUCAGAGACAAAGAAAGUCCUCUAGUUACUGGUUCUGGGUCAAUGGAGCUUACACGAGCCAAUUUUGACUGGAUCAAUGCUUUAUUAGAAGAAGAUACAAUACAUGUAUAUAAUACUUAUAAUAAUACUCUUUGUUUCAGUAUCAUUCUUCUUCUCUUUUCCUUGAACAAAAAGAAAAAGUAGCAGUAUUCGUUUUGUUAAGAUGAGCCAGGAACAAGCAAUGUGUACGAACACAAUUUUACUGGUAUUAUUCAAAUCUGAAAGUAGCUUUCUUAUGAAUUUAACAAAAGAAAUGGACAGAAGAAGUUGAUUUAACCCUCAAAAGGUACAGAAGCAAAUCUAUAACCAUCAUUACACCGGCGAUUUGUUUCAUCUUGGCUCAGGGCCUCAGGCCAAGCUAUACCCUUUGUCGAUCCACCAUUUCUGGCAACACCGUCUAAAUCACUAUGUGCACAAUGACAGUUACUCACAGACAAACAUAACAGAACCAAUCGCCCUGAAUCAAAAGCAGAUCAGCGUGUAGCAUGGAUGAUGAUACAUUAGACAUCUAUCACCAUCAAACUGUAGCUGCCAAGCAAUUCACAAUGGCAGAUUCAUUAGGAACCGUAAGCACGGUACCAGACCACACGAUUUUCCCCCAAAUAUCCCCUUCUCCACGCCUUUCAACAUCAAUCUCCGCACACCAAAUCUCCAUUCUCCUAGAACCGCCACUACCAGCUUUACCUUCCCACAAAACCGCAAGCUUUCCACCACGAUUCGCCAUAGUAGCCCCACAAAGAAACUUUGGAAGUGAUUCCACACCUUUCAGCUCUUUCCAAAUCCUCUCUUUUGGAUCAUAGCCUCUAAUCUUCCCCAAGUAAUCAUAACAAUACAAUAUGUUGUCAAUCACACAAGCUCUUCCUCUCCAUCCCAAAUCAAGCCUCUUCUCAGGCAUAUCCCAUUUCUUUUCCUUGGGCUCGUAAACAACACCGUUUCGAUCAGCCAUUGCGUAAACCUUCCCUUCCAUAACCGCACUUGCGUGCAUCCAUUUCUCACGCACCUCCAUGCCUGGACUAGCCACUGGCUCCCAAGUUUGAGUCUUUAUAUCAAACAUCUCUGCCCAAUUAAUCGAUCGGGCCCAAUUAUCAACCACACAUCCUCCAAUCACAUAAAUCUUCCCAUCGAUUACACCAGCUGCUGCAAAUUCACGACCUACUCUCAUAUUAGAGACUCGUCGCCAAGUAUGAAAUCUGCAAUCGAGAACCCAGACGCUCGAAGAAGGCACGUCUCUGAUAGAUCCACCGAUCACGUAAAUAUCUGAAUCUACCACAACGUAAGCAGAUCCAACAAGAGACGGUGAAGGACAAGACGGGAUUGGAACAAGCAUUUUCGAAUUCGUUGAGCUCGAUAAGGUUCGAUGGAGAAGAGUGAACCAACACGCACCAGAUUCAGGAGGUAAACGAAUUGCGACGUAGAGGAUGUUUUCAGUGGCGCCGACGAGAGAUCUCGUGGCGUAGAGCAAAGGCGAUGUUGGGAGAGAUCGGAAAGUCUUGGAGACGAGAGAGAGGAUCGGAUGGUGACAUCUUGAGACGCGAGCAAGGCAAUUCAGAGCAACGUCGUCUGAUAAUAAUGGAAUCAAUUGCGCCGCCGAUUUCGUUUCCGGUGGUUCGUCGCCGGAGCUCGUUGUAGCCGCCAUGUAACAGAUUUGAUCAGUCUUAUUAUCUUCUCAAUUUUAAAUAAGAGAGAAAAUGAUUUUGCAUUAUUCGGUUCGGUUCGGUUCGAUAAAAACCAAUCCGAGCCGAGAAAAUUAAUUUGGAAUCUAAACCGGGUUUAAACCGAUAUAAUUGUGCCGUUAUCUAAAAAUGCUGACGUGGCAGAAAGCAUGAUCCGGUGGUUUGAAAGAAGCCACGCGCUUUCUCGUCUUCCCUUCGUCCGACGAUUGCAAUUGGGAGAAGAAGAAGAAGACGAUGAAGCAUUAUCUGAUUCUGGGUUUGUUUAAAAUCGAAUUUUUCUUGAGAAUUUUUUGAAGAAGUAUGAUUGCAUUAACUGUUUCUUCGUUGGGGAAUACUCCGAUUGCUUCGUUUAACCGGCGUUUCAGAUUCCGGUUACAUCCACGAAACCUUCCGAUACUAGCAGCGGUUUCUCCUUCUUCAUCCUCUUCUUCUUCUCCUACUGCUUCUUCUGGGUUUGAUUUGAGUUCUCUCGAAUCCGCCAUUAACAAGGUCAAUUCUUGUUCACAACCUUUACUUUUUAAUUAGAUGAACUUUGCUUAAAGUGGGUUCAUUUGUUAUCGCAGAAAGAUAGUAAUGGUGUUAAGGAAGCUCUAGAUAAAUUGAGUGAAGAAGGUUGGGCUAAGAAAUGGAGUUCCCAGCCGUAUCUUUCGCGCCGUACGGUGUAUAUCGAUCUCUCUAUCUAAGCUUAUCCUUACCAUUUGUUAAACGCUUAGUGAGUGACAGUGAAGAAGUGAUGUGUCUUUUUGUAUCAGACAUCGCUUCGGGAGCUGACAACUCUCGGAAUCAAGAAUGCAGAGACUCUUGCCAUCCCUAGUGUCAGGAACGAUGUAAGGUUCUGUCUUGUUAUUAGAAUGCUGAACUCAAGAGAGUUCUUGAGGUUUACAUUGUAUGUUAAUGGAGGCUCUUCUGAAUUCUGAUUUAGUUGAGUAAUGCAGGCGGCUUUUCUUUUCACAGUAGUAGGAACAACGGGGUUCAUAGCUGUACUUGCCGGCCAACUUCCCGGGGUAAACUCUAAAUACUCAAUUUUCUCUGGUGUUAUAGGCCAUGAAAAAUCUUUGGCCUUUUCUCAUUGAUUUCUAGUUGUCUGUUCUUUCUUCUAGACAAUUGUGUAGGCUAGACCAAGAACUACAUCCUAUAGAGCGUGUAUACCAUGUCGAAAACCAUGGAAAUAUCUCGGUUUCUGUCGAUUGUGUUAGGUUCUAUAUGUAUCUUAGACUGAUGAAUAACUGUUGAAUCUGGACAGGACUGGGGAUUCUUUGUGCCUUACUUAGUUGGGAGCAUUUCGUUGGUAGUUUUAGCUGUGGGAAGCGUUUCACCAGGGUAAGAAAGUAACUUAAACACUGCGUAUUUUGUUUAGUUUUCGUUAGCUUAAUGUAGUCUGGGAUACAGAUUUAUUUUCUGCUGUUUUGUUCGUAGGCUUCUUCAAGCUGCGAUUUCCGGGUUUUCUACGUUCUUCCCUGAUUAUCAAGAAAGAAUUGCUGCACAUGAAGCAGCCCACUUCUUAGGUACUCUUGAAAAAUUUAAACCUUUUAGUUCUAAAGGUUCAAUGUUCUGAUUCUGUUUUAAAACUUCCAGUGGCUUACUUAAUCGGACUUCCAAUCCUUGGGUAUUCGUUAGACAUCGGUAAAGAACACGUCAAUCUCAUCGACGAGAGACUAGCUAAACUAAUAUACAGCGGCAAGCUUGACUCAAAGGAGCUAGAUAGGUAGAGUUUCUUUAAUGUCGAAAAGGAGAAAAGAAGAAUCAAAAUCUCAACCCAUUGAAUCAUCUUUGGUUUCUCAGGUUGGCUGCUGUUGCAAUGGCUGGACUUGCCGCCGAGGGUCUGAAGUAUGACAAAGUGAUCGGCCAAUCUGCAGAUCUCUUCUCUCUUCAGGUCCUUCCUAUCCAUCACUCAACUCAACACUCACAAGUUCACAAACCAAUAAGUUACAACAGCUUAUUUUUCUUUGAUUUCCUGCAGAGAUUCAUAAACAGAAGCCAACCCAAAAUAAGCAACGAGCAGCAGCAAAAUCUAACAAGAUGGGCUGUAAGUUUCUCUUGUCGUCUCUCAUUAACAUGUUUCCUUCUUAAGUAUUCAUGAAUAUUUGUUAUUUGUUAUGCAGGUUCUCUACUCUGCUUCUCUUCUCAAAAACAACAAGACCAUCCAUGAAGCUCUAAUGGCUGCAAUGUCCAAAAAUGCAUCUGUUCUUGAAUGCAUUCAAACCAUCGAGACAGCUUCCUAGAUAAACAAUCUCUGUUAUCUCUUUUGAUCGAUCGAAUUCCUUCACAUGAAAUUCCAUAUCUUUUAUAUAUAUAAAGACACAAAAAGUUACAGACUUUCAAUAUCAUCAUCUUCAAGCACUAUGAAGAAGAUCAAAACUAUAGUACUACUAUAAUAUAAACGAUGUAAUUAUACAUUUAAAGUGGUAUUUAUGGUUGACGAACUUAAAGAUCAUCAGACCAAUCACUUGGCUUGGUGUCAUAGAACAACCCAUCAACGAUCUGAUCAACCAAAGAGUCAAUAAACGAGUUGCAGCUCACUGUAAAAAUCCGGCCAACUCGGUUCCGAGAAAUCGUUAACCACGCGAAUAUCGCCGCGCAUCCCAUCGCGGCGAGACCAGCUCCAAUAGCUUCACUUAAUCCUUCCACAUCAAGUUUCUUAAACAACGAAUUCCCCGUAACAACCUCCUCCGUCACCGUCGCCGCAAACACAAUCUGAAAAGAGUAAAUUCACAUAUUAAACCGCGAGAUCGAAGAUCGAAGUUCGAAUUUAGGGUUUAUGGUUUAUUUACCAUGGCGAGUCUUCCAGAGAUGGUUUCAAAGUCUUGACUCUUCUUCGAACUCUCUAUGUAAUCAGUAAGCGUCUCAAAAAACGGAGACGAUGAUAGCUCAACCUCAGAUCCUCCUCCACCAUCUCCGCCGUCUCUUUUAGCGAUGACCAUAUCAGAUCCAUAAGAUCUCAGCGUGCAAAGUCUCGGCUGAAGCACGAUCUUCCCUUUCUCGGCUAAAUCGCCACCUCUUGGUCGUUGCUGUAUCUGAAUCUGCUUGAUUGGUUCCGAUGAUUCGCAUCUAGGAGAUAAAGAUCUCGGUGACGGUAACUGGCAACGAAUCGCGCGUGUAGCCAUAGCCAUUUCUGAUGAUCCGAGGAAUCUUUUGAGGAAAGUGAGUAUUUGAGGGGGAAAACAAAAAGAGGAAUCUUCAUGGUGGCUGAAGAGUACACGUCGUGUCGUUUUUUGUGAGGUGUCAAGAUAUUGUUCGACGUGGCUCCGUUUUGCUUCAGUAACUUGCUUUUCAAUCGGAAAAAUACUUGUUUAGAAUUUUAGAAAAUACGUUUGAACUACGUGUCGUUUUGCUUUUAUCUAUUCGAAGCUGAAUGAACCAGAUUCAUUUUAGACCCAACUAUUUGACUCUUCUUCUUUUUAUUGAUGUUUAUAGGUUUAGGUCGGUAUAUUUCGGAUAAAAUGCCAAAUAAGAAUAAUGGAUAUGGAUAAUGAAUAUUUGGGAUACAUAAAAUACCUACUGAAUGAGAGAAAUAAGAACUGAAAAAUGUUUUUUUUUUUUUUUUUUUUUUUUUUGACUUUGGAUCGACAAGGCCCGAUCCAUAGCCAAUCCCUACUAUGCGGAGUAACGCGACUUAGUGGAGUCGAACUCCGGUGGAGAAGGCGGAGUCAAAUGGACUUAACCACUUGACUAAAAGCACAUCCCCAAGAACUGAAAAAUGUUAAAAACAAGAAUUUCAAAAUAUUCGAAAGGAGAAACAUGCAUUUCCUUAUAGUAUACUCCAAAAAUAAUAAUUUUAGGUUUUAUAUCAAUCACUCAAGAGCUGAUUGUAAUACUUCUUCUAGAUGCUUUUCCGUGGCUUCAAAUUGUAUUUUCUUCUCUUCGAUUGCUAGUGCAGUAAGAGCUUUAUCAGGAGGCAAGUCCUGCCGUCCUGGUAGCUUCUAAGAGCAUCAAGAACGGGCUUAAGAUCAUCUUCUCCAAUUCCUUUAAGUGCUCUGCCAUUUCUACCAACUCCUUGUGGCUGAUCUUAGAAAUGUCGAUUAACCUAUCACAUGCAUAAUCCUGACGUUCCGACCGACCAUUCAUUCUCAGACUUAUUAUACUUCUUUAUGUAAUUUUCCUCCUUGAUUGCCAUUACUUCCAUAUUUGUUUUCCAAAUUUCCAUGCGUGAUUCACAAGGGACUACUACAUCAUCUUCUAGCUGUGCAAGGAUUUUAUUUAAAUACGUCAUCUUUUGUAUCGCUUUUCUUGUAUAAUCAAGAAGAACAUUGGACUCCAUUUUCGCCUUAGCUCUCUUCUCCUACACUCCAGUCUUCCUUAGAGAAAUGUCUCCCAUUGCAAUAAGGAAACUGCUUAGUUCAGUGUCCCUUAUGUUUACGAUAGUUCUAGUAAACUCAAUAAUUAGAGAUCCUUCUUUUCUCUUUUGUAAUAUAUAAUUUUUUUUCAUGUUUUACUAACAUUUUCUUGUUUACGGCGUCGGCAAUUCUCAAUUAUAUAAACUAUAACCUAAAUCUAAAAGUCUGGCCGAUUCUAACAGAAAAAAAAAAUCAAACGUGAAUUAGUUUGCAUGUAUCAACCUGAAACACUUUUUUUAUAUAAAUCAUCCUAAAGAACAAUAUUACCUCCAAAUCCGUCCUCAUAUACCUCACCACCAAAAGGACCCAUGCAUAUACACACAUAUCAUCAUGAUCAUAUAAUCACAAAUCAAUCCUUAAACCGCUAUCAAUCAACAACGCAUAUCUCCUCCGACCAUAUAUUACAUCAAAUCAUACUCUUACGAAGAAGAUACUAAGUUCGGGUCCAUUAUUUCCUUCGGGACUCAACAUGUAAAAUGUCUCUGAAUCUUUAGACCCAACGACUCGUUCGAAAUAAGCCCUCAUGUAAGCCAUCUCCGAGUCAGGUCCUUCAACCUCCGAGUUCCCCGGCAAAACUCCGGCACCCAUCGAAACUGGUCUUAACAACUCCAUAACGUUGAGAUCUUCCUCCGUCGCGUCACGUUUCACACCGUACCCCGUUUUCUUACCGUUACAAAACAUUGUCCAUAAUGGCUCGUCCAUGAUCUUGGUCUUCUCUUUAUCACCUCGUUUCUCUGUCUCUAACGCGAUCCUAACCAUCCCUCCGCUAAGUUCUUUUUGUAGCACCAUUGUUUGCAUCGCAAGCUCGACGACGAGAGAUGGUAAACAUCUAGGGCUUUCUUGAAUCGAGAGGCUUACACGGCCUUUACGGUAUCCGAACAAGGUUCCCGUAACUCUUGAUCCGCUUGAUCCGCUUCGAUGAGGGUCGGGUAAGCUACCGCCUGGGAGGACCGGGAUUUUGCAAGCUGCCGGUGUGAUGAUCGGGAAAGAACGGAAAACCGAACGAAAAACUCGGAAGACUUUUUUGCUUUUCUUCUUGUUUUGAUGAGAUGGUUCGAGUAACGUGACAUGGUGACGUGGCGCCGGAGAUGGAGACGGUGAGGGAGACCCCGAAGGGAUUGAAUAUGAGUCGGUGGAGGAGGAAGCACCGCUUGCCCUUGGCCUUUGCUCCCCCAUUAAAGACGGAGACGUCGACGAGGAUACGACGACGUUUUUACGGAAAAACUUCUUUCUAUUUUAAAGAGGUUAAUUAAUGUACUGUGUCUUUUAAUUUGUUGGCCUUUUCUUUUGCCUUUCACACACCUUUGAGUUUUUAGGAUUUCUAAUUUUGUUUUUUUUGUUAGAAAUUGGAAUGGUUUUGGAAAAAGGUCUAAAUUUUUGUGUUCACAUUGUGGUUAUAGUUUAUAUAUAGUUGUUGUUUUUAUUUUGAAGUGUAAUCAGCCAGCUCUAUGCUCUAUUUUUAAGAGUAGGAAACAAAGCUGUAUAUUUCAAAACAUGUGAAAACAAAUCAAACGAGUUUCCAAAAAUAGAGAGAUAUACAUAAAGUUGUAUAGUCGUUUGGUCAGGUCAAUGUACAAUAGUAAUCGCCUGUAAAAUCUCAUGAUAUCUAAGUCCAACUUGGUGUAUAGUGGAUCUUGUAAGCUUGUAACAAUAAUUUAACCAAAACACGGUUAAUUAAUUCAAAUAAAAUAAACAUCAAAAUUUGAGUUGAUCUGUUUCUUAUUCUAAACUUCUGAUGCUGAUUUAAUCAACUAAAAUAUGUAUGGUGUAAAUGUUGGGAGAUUUAUAUGAUUAAUCAAAUUUAGCAUAUAUACUAUUGAUACAGAGUACGAUGAAGUCUUGCAUUGCAUGUAUAGUAAUUCUUGACAAAAAGAGUUAUAAAUAUACUAUUCUUUCAAUCUUUCUUGCUAAAGAAAAGAGUAAUAAAUAUUAUCUACGCUUAUGUAUGACUUUUUUUUUUUUUUUUUUUUUUUUUUUUUUUUUUAACUUUAAUAUAUUAAAACUGGGCCUUCCCAACUGGGCUUGACCUUGAAUUUUACAAUAGAAUUCAGAUACAAAAAAGAAUACUCAUAAAAUCGGCCCAGAACUAGUAGUCGGAUCUCAUCCUGCUGACAGACCGAAAUCAGAAACUCCGAGCAACAUACACGGCGGAAACAGGAUCCACGACUUUGCAAUUGAACCCCAGAAACGGAAAACAGGGAGGGAAGUUUCCGGACUCCCGUCCCGUUGCCAUUCCGGCGAACCACCAGUCCCAUUACAGAUCCUCCGAAUUGCGGCUCCACGAUGUCGGAUCCCAUGCCAAGCAAUCCAACAUGCCCAGAUGUAACCCCGACUUCCAAUUCUGGCGAUCUCAGACUCUUCCGAGCUAGGGUUUACACGAAGUCCAGUCCCAGGAAGCAAUAACGUGCCAGUUCCGGACUCCCGUCCCGCUUAUGUAUGACUUGACAAUCGAUAUGUUUGCGUGUGUACGUGAACAAGUUCCAAGAUUGGAUGAAAUUUAUUAAUCUGGCGACAAACAUUUUUUUUU